rnacentral:rRNA from 1 species
AGCGCCGGCUAACUACGUGCCAGCAGCCGCGGUAAUACGUAGGGCAAGCGUUGUCCGGAAUUAUUGGGCGUAAAGAGCUCGUAGGCGGUUUGUCGCGUCUGCUGUGAAAGCCCGGGGCUUAACCCCGGGUUGUGCAGUGGGUACGGGCAGACUUGAUGUGCAGUAGGGGAGACUGGAAUUCCUGGUGUAGCGGUGAAAAGAUAUCAGGAGGAACACCGAUGGCGAGGCAGGUCUCUGGGCUGUUACUGACGCUGAGGAGCGAAAGCAUGGGGAGCGAACAGGAUUAGAUACCCUGGUAGUCCAUGCCGUAAACGUUGGGCACUAGGUGUGGGGAACAUUCCACGUUUUCCGCGCCGUAGCUAACGCAUUAAGUGCGCCCGCCUGGGGAGUACGGCCGCAAGGCUAAACUCAAAGGAAUUGACGGGGGCCCGCACAAGCGGCGGAGCGGAUUAAUUCGAUGCAACGCGAAGAACCUUACCAAGGCUUGACAUACACCGGACCGGGCCAGAGAUGGUCUUUCCCCCUUGUGGGGAGGUGGUGCAUGGUUGUCGUCAGCUCGUGUCGUGAGAUGUUGGGUUAAGUCCCGCAACGAGCGCAACCCUCGUUCUGUUGCCAGCACGUGAUUGGGGACUCAUAGGAGACUGCCGGGGUCAAACUCGGAGGAAGGUGGGGAUGACGUCAAAUCAUCAUGCCCCUUAUGUCUUGGGCUUCACGCAUGCUACAAUGGCCAGUACAAUGGGUUGCGAUGCCGCGAGGUGGAGCUAAUCCCAAAAAGCUGGUCUCAGUUCGGAUCGUGGUCUGCAACUCGACCACGUGAAGUCGGAGUCGCUAGUAAUCGCAGAUU